UACGAAGGGUGCUAGCGUUGUUCGGAAUCACUGGGCGUAAAGCGCGCGUAGGCGGUUAUUCAAGUCAGGGGUGAAAUCCUGAGGCUCAACCUCAGAAUUGCCUUUGAAACUGUAUGACUGGAGUAUUGGAGGGGAGUGUGGAAUUCCUAAUGUAGCAGUGAAAUGCGUAGAUAUUAGGAGGAACACCGGUGGCGAAGGCGACACUCUGGACAAUAACUGACGCUGAGGCGCGAAAGCGUGGGGAUCAAACAGG
rnacentral:rRNA from 1 species